ACAUUGUAUAACUUUUUUUCUUAAACUUUGCUAAAUUCUUUAUGGCCAAGUAAUUUUGAACAAUGUAUAUUUAUAAAAAGUUGAUUCAUAAUAUUUCUAUAUCAAUCAUAGAUAAGUGUAAAGCAUGUUUAUACUGAGAAUGUUAAUGUUUUAUAUAUUGCAAUGAAAGAAUCCUUUGUCUUUGUUAGUUCCUCAUUUUAGUUCGAGAGAAAAUUCAUUAUCUUUUGCUAAUGCUGUGACAUAGUUUUAAAUCUCCAAUACUGAAACUCUAAUUCAGAAAAUCUCAUAGACUUCGUCAAUUUAACUUGUCUUCUAAGUAACUUCAAAGUUUCAUUUUUGAACCAUUGUAACAAUGUAAAUGAUGGGUUAAAAUAAUUUAAGCUAUGCCUUCGUGUUAUGAUCAUUUUAUUUGUUCAAUCCCUCAUUAUUUGAAUAUUGUGUCUCAAUACCUAAUACAGAAGGUGGUCAGCCAGUAAUAAAUUUGUACUGUACACUUUGAAAAAAAAAAUCAGUUUCAUCAACGGUAACACAUUGGCAAGUAGAAUAUGUCUGUACCAGGUCAUAGUUUUUAUAACAUAAUAUUGUCAUGAAAAGCAUUUAAUUUUUAAAUUUUGGACAAUGUUGCUUUAGAAUGAAAUCUGCAACACAAAGGCAACCUACUAGCUCAAGAGAAUGUGGUCACCUCUAAAACAUGACCAUUUUGCCUGAAAUCUCAUCUGACCCCGGCCAGGUUUAUUGUCCCUCUGUAAAAAGUCAAGGACAGAGUCUCCUUGAACCAAAGAACAGCUUUUCGAGAAAAAGGGACCAUCUUUGUGAUACCAUGCUGCACCAUUUAAUAAGAAAUCAUCAACGAUCUAUGAAAAUAUCCCAAGAAAACAAAAGGGGAAAGCCAUGAAACCAUCCGAUGA